rnacentral:rRNA from 1 species
UUGGUUUAAAGGGUGCGUAGGCGGCCUUAUAAGUCAGUGGUGAAAUCCUUCGGCUCAACCGGAGAACUGCCAUUGAAACUGUAAGGCUUGAGUACAGACGAGGUAGGCGGAAUUUAUGGUGUAGCGGUGAAAUGCAUAGAUACCAUAAAGAACACCUAUAGCGAAGGCAGCUUACUAGACUGUAACUGACGCUGAGGCACGAAAGCGUGAGGAGCGAACAGGAUUAGAUACCCUGGUAGUCCACGCCGUAAACGAUGAUUACUCGAUGUGUGCGAUAGACAGUACGCGUCCAAGCGAAAGCGUUAAGUAAUCCACCUGGGGAGUACGCUCGCAAGAGUGAAACUCAAAUGAAUUGACGGA